rnacentral:rRNA from 1 species
UACGUAGGUGGCAAGCGUUGUCCGGAUUUAUUGGGCUUAAAGGGUGCGUAGGUGGUCAAUUAAGUCUGUGCUGAAAUCUCCCGGCUUAACCGGGAGGGUGGCAUUGAUACUGCGGGGCUAGAGUACAGAUGAGGUAGGCGGAAUUGACGGUGUAGCGGUGAAAUGCUUAGAUAUCGGCAAGAACACCUAUAGCGAAGGCAGCUUACUAGGCUGUAACUGACGCUGAGGCACGAAAGUGUGGGGAUCAAACAGG